AAAUUACGAUGCCAACUCUACCCAGGCAUCCGCCCGAGAACUACGAGCACAAACGCUUAAAACUCUAAGGACUUGGCGGUGCCCUAAACCCACCUAGAGGAGCCUGUUCUAUAAUCGAUAAUCCACGAUACACCCAACCACUUCUCGCCAAGACAGCCUACAUACCGCCGUCGUCAGCCCACCUCCAUGAGAGCACAACAGUGGGCUCAAAAGCACACCAACCGCUAACAAGACAGGUCAAGGUAUAGCCAACGAAGUGGAAGCAAUGGGCUACAUUUUCUAAAAUAGAACAACCCCACGAAGCGGGGUAUGAAACCCUACCCCACGAAGGCGGAUUUAGAAGUAAAGAAGGAUAAUCAAGCCUUCUUUAAACCGGUCCUAGGGCACGUACAUACCGC
rnacentral:rRNA from 1 species